UACGGGGGGGGCAAGCGUUGUUCGGAAUUACUGAGCGUAAAGGGCUUGUAGGUGGCCAACUAAGUCAGACGUGAAAUCCCUCAGCUUAACUGGGGAACUGCGUCUGGUACUGGAUGGCUUGAGUUUGGGAGAGGGACGCGGAAUUCCAGGUGUAGCGGUGAAAUGCGUAGAUAUCUGGAGGAACACCGGUGGCGAAGGCGGCGUCCUGGACCAACACUGACACUGAAAAGCGAAAGCCAGGGGAGCAAACGGG
rnacentral:rRNA from 1 species